AUUGAACGCUGGCGGCAGGCCUAACACAUGCAAGUCGAACGAGUGGCGGACGGGUGAGUAAUGUCUGGGAAACUGCCUGAUGGAGGGGGAUAACUACUGGAAACGGUAGCUACUACCGCAUACCAUCGGAUGUGCCCAGAUGGGAUUAGCUAGUCGGUGGGGUAAUGGCUCACCUAGGCGACGAUCCCUAGCUGGUCUGAGAGGAUGACCGGCCACACUGGAACUGAGACACGGUCCAGACUCCUACGGGAGGCAGCAGUGGGGAAUAUUGCACAAUGGGCGCAAGCCUGAUGCAGCCAUGCCGCGUGUAUGAAGAAGGCCUUCGGGUUGUAAAGUACUGUCAGCGGGGAGGCGUUACCCGCAGAGGAAGCACCGGCUAACUCCGUGCCAGCAGCCGCGGUAAUUC
rnacentral:rRNA from 1 species